rnacentral:rRNA from 1 species
UACGGGGGGGGCAAGCGUUGUUCGGAAUUACUGGGCGUAAAGGGCUCGUAGGCGGCCAACUAAGUCGGACGUGAAAUCCCCAGGCUCAACCUGGGAACUGAGUCCGAUACUGGAUGGCUUGAAUUCGGGAGAGGGAUGCAGAAUUCCAGGUGUAGCGGUGAAAUGCGUAGAUAUCUGGAGGAAUACCGGUGGCGAAGGCGGCAUCCUGGACCGACAUUGACGCUGAUGAGCGAAAGCCAGGGGAGCAAACGGG